ensembl:snoRNA Small nucleolar RNA SNORD19
UGGAAAUGAGGACAAAACGCAAGUCUGAAAUUCAUUUUGAAGACUUAUAAUCCAACUCUGAUCCAGACAUUACA